AAGUCGUAACAAGGUUUCCGUAGGUGAACCUGCGGAAGGAUCAUUAACACUUUUUAUUAUUUUGUUUUUUUUUCUAAAACAAAAUUUAAAACCCCACAAUUUUGGAUGAAUUUAAUUUAAUUUAUUUUUUAUUUUAUUUUUUUUAUUAUAACCCUAUUAUUUGACUAACAUUUUUAUUUAAUUAUUAAAAAAUUAAAAAAACAACUCUUAACAACGGAUAUCUUGGCUCUC
rnacentral:misc_RNA from 1 species